GCUAGGGUUUUCGAGAAACCCUAGCGCCACCUAGAGGCGAUGGCCUCUCUCUUAAGUCACUAUUGCAAUUUCUGAUAUGUUUACAGGCGUACUACGCUUUACUAGGUCUGGUAUAGCCAGAUCGAGCAAAAGCAUUUAAUGCUUCACCCCUCUCUCAUCAAACAUGACCCAAACGCGUGUGGCUUGAGCAUUGGGGUUAAGGAAGCAAGGAUCUUCCAAGUUCAAUCUGGACCGUUGGCUGCGCUCAUGAGAGCGGGUCACUUCGGCCGAUUUCCUCUGCACGAAACCUGUUUAGCCUGAGGCCCAACAUUCUUUCUUUGAUCAAGUCUGAAGAGAAGUAAAAUAAGCUAAUAUUACGAAGGCCCAUCCAUGGGUAAAAAUGGUCAUUGGUGGGUUUUGGGUAGGCCCACCAGUUCAAUUCUCAUCCGUUUCCUUCUCCUUUUAUCUUAUAUGCCAUGUGUGUAUAUAUUGUAUAUGUAAACAAAUGUGUAAAAUAU